rnacentral:tRNA from 1 species
GGGCAAUUAGCUCAAUGGUAGAGCGCUUCGUUCACAUCGAAGAGGUCACUGGUUCGAUCCCAGUAUUGCCCA